GUGCUGUCACUUUGGCAGCACAUAUACUAAGGUUGGAACAAUACAGAGAUUAGCAUGGCCCCUGCCCAAGGAUGACACGCUGAGGUUCAGUAAGGAAAAGAAAUACC
ensembl:snRNA U6 U6 spliceosomal RNA